AAUGCGUAAUUGUUAUGGUUAAGGUAAAAUAUAUAAAUAAUAUUUUAAAUUUAUGUGUAUAUAUCUUAUCAAUUUAAUGUACUUAACUACUUCAAAUUUUAUAAUUGUAGGAUUUUCUGGUUCUUCAUCUGGCUUAGAUCCUGGUUUAAAGAAAGGGAUGUCUCGAAGCUUUAGUGUAAGAGAGGAUUCUCGAUUACCAUCAAAAGGAAUUGACUCUUUUAUGUUUCCCACAAAACAAAAGAGUCUCAAAAACUGGUUUGGCGCUGAAAAAGUAAAAAAUGUUGGCAAGGCAAUAUCGAAAUGGUUUAUAUAUAAUACUAUUCCAUUUAAUGUAGCAGAUAGUGGUCCAUACUAUCAAUCCAUGAUAAACACCAUUGCUGAGGCUGGAACAGGAAUAAAAGGUCCCACAAGAUGUCAAAUUUGUGGUGUUUAUUUACAAGAGGAGGUGGAUGAGAUAAAUGGAUAUUUGAACACUUUAAAAUCAAAAUGAUCAAAGUAUGGAUGCACAAUAAUGUGCAAUGGUUGGAGUACACACAACAAGCAUCCAAUCAUAAAUUUUAUGAUAUAUUGUGACUGCAACAUGGUAUUUCAUAGUUCCGUUGAUUGCACCAACAAAGCAAAGACAGUUGAUUUUAUUUUAUCUUUAUUAAGUAAAAUUAUUGACGAAAUCGGAGAGGAAAAUAUUGUGCAUGUAGCCACAUAUAGCGAAGGUGCAAAUAAGGCCGCUGGUGCCAAAUUGAUGAUAGAAAGGCAACAUUUGUUUUGGUCCCCUUGUGCAGCACAUUGUAUUGUCUCAUGCUAGAAGAUAUUGGUAAAAUGACAAAAGUAAAAAAGUGUGUUGAGAAAGUCAAGCAAAUAACGAGCUGCAUAUAUAACAGCUAUAAAGUUGUUAAUUUGAUGAAAACAUUUACAAAUGACCAUGAAUUAUUGAGACCAGGGAUAACCCGAUUUGCGACAACAUUUAUUUCAAUUAAAAUUCUUGUUCGGCAUUCUUCAGAUUUAAAAAGAAUGUGCACUUCUGGUGAUUGGGAAGCAUACAAUAAUACAAGCAAAAGAAGAAAAAAAGCAGAAAACAUUGCAAGCAUUAUAAUGGAUGGAAGAUUUUGGAAGAGGGCUCGUGAUAUUUGUGCUGCAAUUGAACCAUUAGUAAAAGUUUUGAAAUUAAUUGACCAAGAUCAAAACCCAACAAUGUCAAUUAUCUAUGAAGCAAUGGAUAGAGCAAAAAUGGUAAUAAAAGAUAAUACUAGAGAUUGACAAUCAUGCAUAUUGGGAUAUUAUUGAUAAUCAAUGGUAUAAUCAAUUACACCAACAUCUACAUGCGCCAGGUAACCAUAUAAUUUAUUUGCUUAAAUUGUAGAGUACAAAGUAUGUCAUCAAAAUCAUUUACAAAAUGCUCAUUUCUAAUUUCAUAUUAUCUUAUUGAUAUUUCAACAUAUUUCCUUAAUCCGUUAAUUACUUCAAUAUUCUGGAACUUGUGUUUAUAAUGAUGAAGUUAAACGAGGAUUAAAGGUUGUAAUUAAGAUAUUGGAGCCAGACUUAAAUGCACAAGCUUCAGCCAUCAGUGAGAUUAAAUUAUUCAUAGACCAGAUAGGUGAAUUUGGGUCUCCACUAGCAAAAAUGGCAAUAAAAAAAAGGCUCCCAGCUGAAUGGUGGAGUGAUUAUGGUGAAGAUGCCCCACACCUUCAAAAAAUUACAAUAAAAGUUCUAAGUCAAACAUGCUCAUCUUCGGGAUGUGAAAGAAAUUGGAGUAUAUGGUUUCUUAUACACACAAAGCUUCAUAAUCGCUUGGCUCUCAAAAAGUUGCACAAAUUAGUUUAUGUUCACUAUAACAUGCGGCUUAGGUUAUGAAACAUGAUGCGCAAACAAGAAGAUGAUGAUUUUAUAGUCCGAUAGACCACAAUCACAUUUUUCAUGAUGACGACAUCUUAAAUGAAUGGACAAGAGAUAAUGAACCACUAGUUUUAGAAGAUGAUGAUUUGACAUGGUUAGAUCAAGCACUUCGAGCAUCAAAUGCUGAAGAACACAACACAACUCCAAGCGUUCAAAGUCAUUCAAGAAAGAAGAAUAAUGUAGAAAAGUUAACAGAAUUGAAAGGAAAAGAAGUUUUAUCAAGAGAUGAUAGUGAAGAUAGUGACGACAGUGAUGAUAGUGACGAUUCAAAUGAUGGAAAUAAUCAACAAAGUCAUAAUGAACAUCAUGUUCAUCAAAGUCAUCAAGAUGAUCAACAUGACACAGGUAUGAC